CGUUGUUUCUAAUUACGAGUGAUGAGUGCCCCGCCUCAUUAAUCCUUUCCUAUCAGCACUGGGCAGGCGGGCAGCACCAGAAUAGCCCUGAUCUUUGUGCUGCCGCACGCCGCUCUCCAGCAAACCCUGCAUGGACGUAUUAGGCAAAGCAGGCCUGAGAGGAGGACCUACCUUUUCCUACACGCACACACAAACAGAAUGGAGUUUUGCAAAUGACAAGGGUCCAAGGAGAACUGUGACCUCAUAACGGAGCAGCAUAUCACUCUGGAAUACUGUGACAUCAUAGAGAACUGUGACCUCAUAACUGAGCAGCAGAACACUAUGGAAUACUGUGACAUCAUAGAAAACUGUGACCUCAUAGCUGAGCAGCAGAACACUAAUGCUGUGACAUCACAGAGAACUGCGACCUCAUAACAGAGCAGCAGAACACUCUGGAAUACUGUGACAUCAUAGAGAGCUCUGGUGGUAAAAAGUUUGGAACUCGACUGCCCCCAAACAAAACUAUGGAGCUGUUUGGGAUGAUUGUUACCUCAAAGUAAUGACAUUUGAUGUUUUAUCUUAGUGGUACUGUUUUAUGAUGACUCGUAGAGGUUUGAUCUUCUCAUGACCCAGCUAUCGUGUGCUACUAUAUAAAGUUAAAAAAUGGAUUACUGUAUGGAAACUACCUUUUCCAAUCAUGUAUACAGAAACUCAUAAUCAAAAUAUCAAAGUAUUUCUAUUAAACAUUUACAGAUGAUGUUUUUCUCCCUUUGACAUUGAGAUGAAACGGAACAGAGUUGGAACUUGUUUUUUCUUGCCUCCAACAUAAAAUGCUGUUUCAAAACCCCCUGUCCACUGCUAUGAAAUAAAAUCUCCCCCUUGGGGAAAUGCA